AACGAACGCUGGCGGCAGGCUUAACACAUGCAAGUCGAACGCCCCGCAAGGGAAGUGGCAGACGGGUGAGUAACGCGUGGGAAUCUACCCAUCUCUGCGGAAUAGCUCCGGGAAACUGGAAUUAAUACCGCAUACGCCCUACGGGGGAAAGAUUUAUCGGGGAUGGAUGAGCCCGCGUUGGAUUAGCUAGUUGGUGGGGUAAAGGCCUACCAAGGCGACGAUCCAUAGCUGGUCUGAGAGGAUGAUCAGCCACAUUGGGACUGAGACACGGCCCAAAUUCCUACGGGAGGCAGCAGUGGGGAAUAUUGGACAAUGGGCGCAAGCCUGAUCUAGCCAUGCCGCGUGAGUGAUGAAGGCCUUAGGGUUGUAAAGCUCUUUCACCGAUGAAGAUAAUGACGGUAGUCGGAGAAGAAGCCCCGGCUAACUUCGUGCCAGCCGCCGCCGUAA
rnacentral:rRNA from 1 species